CAGCAGCCACGGUAAUACGUAGGUGGCAAGCGUUGUCCGGAAUUAUUGGGCGUAAAGGGCUCGCAGGCGGCUUCUUAAGUCUGAUGUGAAAGCCCCCGGCUCAACCGGGGAGGGUCAUUGGAAACUGGGAAACUUGAGUGCAGAAGAGGAGAGUGGAAUUCCACGUGUAGCGGUGAAAUGCGUAGAGAUGUGGAGGAACACCAGUGGCGAAGGCGACUCUCUGGUCUGUAACUGACGCUGAGGAGCGAAAGCGAGGGGAGCGAACAGGAUUAGAUACCCCCGUAGUCCCUGUCUCUUAUAC
rnacentral:rRNA from 1 species